rnacentral:tRNA from 1 species
GGAGAGGUGCUGGAGCGGUUUAUCAGGUUAGUCUUGAAAACUAAAGAGGGCGCAAGCUCUCCGUGGGUUCGAAUCCCACCCUCUCCG